rnacentral:rRNA from 1 species
CCUACGGGAGGCAGCAGUAGGGAAUAUUGCUCAAUGGGCGAAACCCUGACGCAGCAACGCCGCGUGAGGGAUGAAGGUUUUCGGAUUGUAAACUCCUUUUAUUAGAGAAGAUAGUGACGGUCUCUAACGAAUAAGCACCUGCCAACUCCGUCCCAGCAGCCGCGGUAAUACGGAGGGUGCAAGCGUUCCUCGGAAUCACUGGUCGUAAAGAGCGCGUAGGCGGGAUGGCAAGGCAGAUGUGAAAUCCUAGGACUUAACCAGAGAACUGCAUUUGAAACUGUUAUUCUAGAGUAUGGGAGAGGUAGGUGGAAUUCUUGGUGUAGGGGUAAAAUCCGUAGAGAUCAAGAGGAAUACUCAUGGCGAAGGCGACUUGCUAGAACAUAACUGACGCUGAUGCGCGAAAGCGUGGGUAGCAAACAGGAUUAGAUACCCCUGUAGUC